UUACGGCCACAUCACGUUGAAAAACCUGUUCCCGUACAAUCUCCAAAGUUAAACAACGUUGAGCCUGGUCAGUACCUAGGUGGGUGACCGCUUGAAAAUACCAGGUGAU